UUGGAUCAAAUGGAAAGCAGAGUUGGAGCUUCUAGCUGAUGUCUGUUAUUUUGGAAUAACUACAAUAAGUGCUUGAUAAGGAAAAUUGGUAGACCUUUUUGGAACUCAAUUGUUGCUGGAACAUUACUUAUGAUAAUGAUGGAGGUUUGAACAGAAUGAUACCAGUUUCGCCCCCACCGAGUUUGCCCCCACUAUAAAAUUUCUAUUUCGAGUUCGCCCCCAACUUUUAGUGUUUGUGUUUACGUAUUUGCCAUGAGUUAUUGAACAUUUUCGAAGAACCAUUUCAGUCUAUGUAUGUUUGCUUGUUCGCGAUCGCAUAACAACAAAGUCGAACAGUUACUGGUCAUCUUGCCACAAGGGAGUCUCGCCACCAAUGAAGUCUCCACCAAGGGAAGUCACCUCGCCACCAAGCGAAGUUUCCUCACCACCAGUGAUCUAAUGAGGCAGUGGAUAAAAGAACGAGGAAUAAUUUCUAUAUGCGACUUGAUCUGGUUGGGGGCGAACUCGAUCAAGUUGAGUUGAUGUGGGGGCGAACUUGGUGGGGGCGAACUCGCCAUGUGGCGAAACUGGCAGCUACCUUUGAACAUGACUCUGAAUUACACUGUUCACCACCUCUCUAUUUUUCAAUGCACCCGAAAGAAAAGGCGAGCAAAGUGAGAGUGAAGCACAUGGGGCUGGGGAUAACACACGAAGAAUAGAGAGACUGUGGACAUCUUUGGAAAAAAGUGGUUUUAUUAGGUUCCACCCUCUGUAAUCACCUUGUCGCUAACAGCUCCGCCUCUUGGCUAAUUAGGUACAUGUAAAUUGGUUCAAUUAAAUUUUAGUGGUCACUUGCUCAUUUAAUUGAUUAUAAGUUCAGUCUGCAAACAGCAGCACAUACAUUCAGGUGUUGAGGAUGUUGUCUCUGGCAACUAUUACUUCACAAAAAAAAAAAAAAAAAAAAAAAA